rnacentral:rRNA from 1 species
GAUGAACGCUGGCGGCGUGCCUAAUACAUGCAAGUCGAGCGAACAGACGAGGAGCUUGCUCCUCUGACGUUAGCGGCGGACGGGUGAGUAACACGUGGAUAACCUACCUAUAAGACUGGGAUAACUUCGGGAAACCGGAGCUAAUACCGGAUAAUAUAUUGAACCGCAUGGUUCAAUAGUGAAAGACGGUUUUGCUGUCACUUAUAGAUGGAUCCGCGCCGCAUUAGCUAGUUGGUAAGGUAACGGCUUACCAAGGCAACGAUGCGUAGCCGACCUGUGAGGGUGGUCGGCCGCCCUGGAGCUGGACCACGGUCCAGACUCCUACGGGAGGCAGCAGUAGGAAAUCUUCCGCAAUGGGCGGAAGCCUGACGGAGCAGCGCCGCGUGAGUGAUGGAAGUCUUCGGAUCGUAAAACUCUGUUAUUAGGGAAGAACAAAUGUGUAAGUAACUAUGCACGUCUUGACGGUACCUAAUCAGAAAGCCACGGCUAACUACGUG